GGGGGUGUAGCUCAGAUGGUAGAGCGCGCGCUUAGCAUGCGCGAGGUACCCGGGAUCGAUACCCGGCACCUCCA
rnacentral:tRNA from 1 species